GACUGCUUAGCUCAGUUGGAAGAGCAUUGGGCUAGUAUUCCAAAGGUCGUAGGUUCGAAUCCCACCGUAGCCA
rnacentral:tRNA from 1 species